rnacentral:rRNA from 1 species
AGAGUUUGAUCCUGGCUCAGGACGAACGCUGGCGGCGUGCUUAAUACAUGCAAGUCGAGCGGACCUUUGCCGUUUGUUGCCGGUUUCCGGCGACAAAUGGCAACGGUUAGCGGCGAACGGGUGAGUAACGCGUGGGUAAUCUGCCCCCAAGACCGGGAUAACAGAGCGAAAGCGCUGCUAAUACCGGAUGACCUCUCUUUAUCGCAUGGUGAAGGGAGCAAAGCUACGGCGCUUGGGGAUGAGCCCGCGUUCCAUUAGCUAGUUGGUGAGGUAACAGCUCACCAAGGCGACGAUGGAUAGCCGGCCUGAGAGGGUGACCGGCCACACUGGGACUGAGACACGGCCCAGACUCCUACGGGAGGCAGCAGUAGGGAAUUUUCGGCAAUGGGGGAAACCCUGACCGAGCAACGCCGCGUGAGGGAUGAAGGCCUUCGGGUCGUAAACCUCUGUCUUUGGGGACGAUAAUGACGGUACCCGAGGAGGAAGCCCCGGCUAACUACGUGCCAGCAGCCGCGGUAAUACGUAGGGGGCGAGCGUUGUCCGGAAUUACUGGGCGUAAAGGGUGCGUAGGCGGCCCUUUAAGUCGGAUGUGAAAGCCCGCGGCUUAACCGCGGAAUGGCAUUCGAAACUGGAGGGCUUGAGUGUCGGAGAGGGUAGUGGAAUUCCCAGUGUAGCGGUGAAAUGCGUAGAUAUUGGGAGGAACACCAGUGGCGAAGGCGACUACCCGGACGAUAACUGACGCUGAGGCACGAAAGCUAGGGGAGCAAACAGGAUUAGAUACCCUGGUAGUCCUAGCCGUAAACGAUGGGUACUAGGUGUGGGUGGUUUCGAUACCAUCCGUGCCGUAGUUAACGCAUUAAGUACCCCGCCUGGGGAGUACGUGCGCAAGCAUGAAACUCAAAUGAAUUGACGG